rnacentral:sRNA from 1 species
GCCAGGUGUGGUGGCACAUGCCUGUCAUCCCAGUAGCUCAGGAGGCUGAGGCAGGAGGAUCUUGAGUUCAAGGCCAGCCUCAGCAAUUUCGUGAGGACCUAAGCAACUUAGCAAGACCCUGUCUCUA